rnacentral:rRNA from 1 species
UACGUAGGUGGCAAGCGUUGUCCGGAAUUAUUGGGCGUAAAGCGCGCGCAGGCGGCCUUUUAAGUCUGAUGUGAAAUCUUGCGGCUCAACCGCAAGCGGUCAUUGGAAACUGGGAGGCUUGAGUACAGAAGAGGAGAGUGGAAUUCCACGUGUAGCGGUGAAAUGCGUAGAUAUGUGGAGGAACACCAGUGGCGAAGGCGACUCUCUGGUCUGUAACUGACGCUGAGGCGCGAAAGCGUGGGGAGCGAACAGG